UGGGGAAUAUUGCACAAUGGGGGAAACCCUGAUGCAGCGACGCCGCGUGAACGAAGAAGGUAUUCGUAUCGUAAAGUUCUGUCCUAUGGGAAGAUAAUGACAGUACCAUAGAAGAAAGCUCCGGCUAAAUACGUGCCAGCAGCCGCGGUAAUACGUAUGGAGCGAGCGUUGUCCGGAAUUAUUGGGCGUAAAGGGUACGCAGGCGGUUUAAUAAGUCGAAUGUUAAAGAUCGGGGCUCAACCCCGCAAAGCAUUGGAAACUGAUAAACUUGAGUAGUGAGGAGGAAAGUGGAAUUCCUAGUGUAGUGGUGAAAUACGUAGAUAUUAGGAGGAAUACCAGUAGCGAAGGCGACUUUCUGGACACAAACUGACGCUGAGGUACGAAAGCGUGGGGAGCAAACAGG
rnacentral:rRNA from 1 species